rnacentral:tRNA from 1 species
GACUCGCUAGCUCAGCUGGUAGAGCACAUCCCUUUUAAGGAUGGGGUCUUGGGUUCGAACCCCAAGCGAGUCACUA